UUGACGGUAUCGCUUAUGGCAUCGUAGUGUACUUGGUUGCCAGGAUAGUACAUACUAGAUAUGUAGUUGGCUUUGAGACAUAUAUCAUACUUCAUAGUAUUACAUGUUGCAUCAUAGCAUAUUUGUUUAAGUAUUGGCAUACUGGUUCAUGUAGAGUAGAUGUACUCCAUGUUGACAUUCUACAUACUUAUGGCAUAGUAGAGUAGCAUCUUAUUAUUAUGCUUCAUUUACCGCAGUUAAAUUCUAUUAACUUU
rnacentral:lncRNA from 1 species